rnacentral:rRNA from 1 species
UGGGGAAUAUUGCACAAUGGAGGGAACUCUGAUGCAGCGACGCCGCGUGAGUGAUGAAGGAAUUCGCUUCGUAAAACUCUGUUCUAUGGGAAGAAAAGGACUGUACCAUAGGAAUAAGGACCGGCUAAUUACGUGCCAGCAGCCGCGGUAAUACGUAAGGUCCGAGCGUUGUCCGGAAUCAUUGGGCGUAAAGGGUACGUAGGCGGGUAAGCAAGUUAGAAGUGAAAUCCUAUAGCUCAACUAUAGUAAGCUUUUAAAACUGCUCAUCUUGAGGUAUGGAAGGGAAAGUGGAAUUCCUAGUGUAGCGGUGAAAUGCGCAGAUAUUAGGAGGAAUACCGGUGGCGAAGGCGACUUUCUGGCCAUAACCUGACGCUGAGGUACGAAAGCGUGAGUAGCAAACAGG